rnacentral:tRNA from 1 species
GCUCCUGUGGCGUAGCUGGUAGCGCAACUGAUUCGUAAUCAGUAGGUCAGGGGUUCAAAUCCCCUCGGGAGCACCA